UUUAAGGAGGCUCGCGGGUAUAAGAUUUUCAGAAAAAAAUUAAACAUUUAUUUUUCAUUACAAAUUUUAUUAAUUACCUUUAGUAGUUGUUACUUUAUCAUAUGGUACAAAAAUUAUUCCCAAAAAUCAGUUCGUGUUAGCCCCUGGUGACUUUUAAAAUGUAGAUAUCAUUGAAAAAGCUCCAAAUUAUCUCCCUUUGGUGCAAAAAUGCC
rnacentral:lncRNA from 1 species